GACAGAGGGUGCAAGCGUUAUCCGGAGUUACUGGGCGUAAAGCGCGAGCAGGCGGCUCGACAAGUUCGAUGUGAAAGCGCCCGGCUCAACCGGGCGAGGCCAUUGGAAACUAUCGAGCUGGAGGGCAGUAGAGGCAGGCGGAAUUCCGGGUGGAGUGGUGAAAUGCGUAGAGAUCCGGAGGAACACCAGAGGCGAAGGCGGCCUGCUGGGCUGCACCUGACGCUGAGCCGCGAAAGCUGGGGGAGCAAACGGG
rnacentral:rRNA from 1 species